CCUGGCGAGCCGUGUGUCAGAGGUGGCCGACCCCUGAAAUAAACAGUCCAGCUUUGUUUAUUUCAGUGCCCAGACAUUCAAAUAAAGGCAUCUAGGAUAUGAUCUUGAAUGUUUGAUCCUCUUUGAGACGUUUAACACAUUUUCAGAGGAAGUGUGUCCAGACAAUAGAUAUAGUAGUUUUGUCUAGGAGCACCUUUAUGUGUAGCCACUUCUUGGGAUACCUAAGCGAUUUCUCCUUCAACCAGAUCACCCUAACCUCUCACCCAUCUACCAUACACCUCCUUUACUAACUUCUGCUUUUCCCUCUAAUGUGCUUCCUCUCUCUCAACUCUCAGAUCUCCUCCAGUAUGUACUGACUGGCCUAAUGCCAUGUGUAUUUUAAUUUGUUCUUCCCAGCCGGUUGUUUAAUUCCUUAUCUGAAACUAAAUCUAUUAUAUUGUUUAUUCAAGUGAACUAUUACAGUGAAGUGGAGAAAAGAGUUUGGCACCCAAAAGGCUGAUGACCUACCAAAUACUAAGAUUGCUCACAAAGUGCAUACUUUUGAAAUCACUGUAUUUCAAAAUGUUGAGCAUAAGCUAAUCCUUUCAGCACUACAUAAGGAUGAAUAAUGUGACUUAUUGUGACACUUUUCAACCAGCAGAAGAUAGCAUUGUGUUCCCAGUAGAGCUGAAUUUGCACAAGUUACACCUCUGAAAAUGCCAGAUGGUCUAUGGUCUACUUUUGAGAGCUGUCACAUAUGUAAAGAUUUGAAAAAAGAAAGACAGCUGAAUGAGAGCAGUGGAUCAUUAAAGGGAGAGUGAGGGUCCCUGGGUAUCACUAUGUUUUAAGAAGCAUUGUGUCAUUUCCCAUAUUACCCUUUUUUUUUUUUAAGAUGUACACAACCUUUUAAAAAAAUAAGGCAACAGUGAAAUGGUCAGGAAUCAGGCCCGUUUCAAGCUGCUGCACUUGGCAAAGCUAUUAGAGGAAGAAGUAACCAAUAAACAAAGGCAGGAUGAUUGGAAGAAUAAUAGAGCCUCCACCCCACCUCCUCUCCGUUGCCACACCAACCAGGAAUCAGGCAACAUGUAGAGUAAUGAAGGCCUGCCAACUCCACCAUCAGGCAGAUUCUGGAGGUUGGGGGGGGAAAGAGAGAAGCUCCUUGUCUCUUAUCUGAAGAAGAGCUCUGUGUAAGCUCAAAAGCUUGUCUCUCACCAGCAGAAGUUGGUCCAGAAAAAGAUACUACCUCAUCUUGUCUUUCUAAUAUCUUUGGAACAACAUGGCUACAACACUGCAUAUCUUUUCCCUUACAGCAGUGUGGGUGAUUGGGCUUCAGAUGUAUUAGAUAUACUGAAGGAAGGCUGAUACAAAAUGGAGACUCCAAGUUGGGGACAAAACUUUGUUAUCCCUCUCCUGAGUGAAAAGAGGACAUGGAGCUGGUCUUCUCACCGGGCAGUGUCCCUGGAACUCUCCACUGUGUGCAUGUGAACCUUUCACCCUCUGCAUUUUUGGUCUGCUCAGUCUUGGUAGGGUUAGACCUCCAGGUAGUACCAACGCCAUCCAGAACCGCCUGGUGAAAGCCAUCACACCACGCCUGGGGGAGAUCUCCGUGAACUGCGCCAUCCCCGGUACCGACAGCCAGCUAUGACCUGAUGUCAUUGUCACCAACAAGGCCCAGAAAAAGAUCAUCCUCGUCGACGUCACGGUCUCCUUUGAGAACAGGACCCUGGCAUUUUGCAAAGCCCUAGCUUGUAAGCUGGAAAAGUACG